rnacentral:tRNA from 1 species
GCGGGAAUAGCUCAGUUGGUAGAGCACAACCUUGCCGAGGUUGGGGUCGCGGGUUCGAAUCCCGUUUCCCGCUCCA